GAAGCUUGCUCAGGACCACCACCAGGAGACAAAGCCCUGUCAGGUUUCCAUGCUAAACCCUCUUCUGCUUUUAUCUUCAGACUGGCAAGUUGUUGGCUUCAAAGACUUGGUCGUGGCUGAGAUGUUAGUUUACAAGAGGUACCAGUCAUUUCAACCAUGCCUCAUUAGGGCACCAUGUUUUGUCAGGUACGUGCCUCUGCUCUUGUUCCAUGUCCCAAACCUUUCCUGACAGUCUUGCUUCAGACCAGAGCUGUGUAGCAUUAAGCUCUCUAAGGUUUCAGAAUUGGCCAGCAAUGAAUUGAUUUUGUUUUCAGCUUGUAUAGAGAUCACCAUCAGUUCUCUCAGACAAAGUCUAAGACUUGUGCUAACCCAUUUUUUCUCUGCUUUUGUCACUGUAAGGCAUGUUGGGCUCUUUAAUACUGAUGUGGCUGCAUGAUAACAGCAAUGAAGAUAAAUUACCUCAAAAAUAGGCAAUAAGCCUUUUAGCUCUUUACAGCAAAUCAAAGCUGCUCUGAACAGCCCACAGAUGAAAGAAUGGCUGUUUAUCUUCAUUUACAGCUACUAUGGAGAGGCACCAGCAUGUAAAUUCGUUGGCCCAGGGGCAACAGCUGAAGUUGUGAAGGAGUCAUAGGGUUUGCCAGUAGGAGAGGAGGAACCCCCUCCUCCCCUCUGCCAACCCAUGCCGUUAUGUGCUAAAUAUUGCUUCUGUGGCCACCUCAAGAUUUUUAGUUAAGAAGUGGCAGUCACCAUAGGUGAUGACAUCCCCUGCCACUGAGGCUGCCAUCUCUGUCACUGUGCUGAUAUAGUAACAGCGCAAAAGGAGGGGUUAUUUAAAUGCACAAAUGUCAACUAAGGCUUUAGACUCCUGGAGUGCUAGCUUGUCCCUCCUAGCACGGGGCAUAUGAGGGAAUCAUCUGUCAGCAUUUGACAAGUCUUAAAGCAGAUGUUGCUUCCUUUUUUCUCCUCCCCACAAGAAGUAUGACUUGUUGUCUUCUUCCAAUGUGAAGAGCAGAACUUCCUUAUUGGAACUCACCCAGUGGUUAACAGGCAUUUAAGGUUUGCCCAGAGAGCUAAUUCGCAUCUUGUCUCACAAGUGAGGCACUCUUGAUUAUCAGCAGGGAGUACCAUAUACAAGGCAAGUAGAAAUUGCAGACACCUUACUGGAAGCUCCAGGGAUGGGCUGAACCUGCCACCAUUGCCUCUCUGAGGGAGUAACACGUCUGAAGUAAUAGACACAAACUCCUUAUUACAUCCACCUUGUAUAAUAGACCUGCAUGGUGGCCAAGGGAAAUCGGACACAGAUGUGAGAGAUGAUAAAUAAUUAUAAACUCAUUUUUAUAUAUUUUUUUGUCUCAAUUUCGUUUUCUUGCUCACGGAUACUGUUCGAGCAAUGCCUGUUAAUAUGAGGAAGCACAUAUCCACAACCACCUUAUAUACAAAGAUAACCGGUUCAGGCCUGCUGACUGUGUUUUCUUUUUGUUUCCAGACAGCAGCAGGGGAGAAGUUAAUGGUGCUACGCUUGGUUGCAGUGUUUCUGUCAUUGCUAUCAUACUCUGCAAUUCCUUAUUGCUAUUUUCUGGCAAAUCUGCUUCUCAGCAAUACUUGCUUGGUAGAACUCCUUUGGGUAUUUCAGUUUCAAGUUUGAUCUAAUUCACUCUCACUAACAGGACAUCACCUUGUGUUAGGUCAAAAGCACCUUCUUCUCUGCCAUUUCGUAAAUGUUCUUAUCCAAAGUGAAAUAGGAGGAGGAGGCAGAUAUAUCGUUGCUUGAGAAGGAGAAAGAAGAAAAGAUAAAGCCAACAAUAAAAUGGUUUAUAAUUUCCAAGAGCAGGUAUGGAGGUUUAGAUAACCCUGUGAUGAGCACACAAUAAAUGCAAGAGCUAGAGAUUAUUACCUUGGCAUUGACAAAUCAUUCACAGUUUUGUUUGCCAUAGUUAUUUGAAAACCUAUUGCAAAUCUUGUAAUAGCUAGCAACAUCCAACCUUGUGUCUCCAAAAAGUGCUGGGUGUUGCCAACACAAAAGCCUAUGGAGUAACAAAAUAAGGGCUAGAAGGACAUCAGGAUUAGGCAAAGUAUGUCACCUAUCCAUGGUUUUGAGAAAUAGUACCAUCUCUUACUCCUGUCAUUAUGCAGUGGUAUAAAUUCUUUGAUCUCUGAAGUGAUUUGAUGCAUCCCUGAUACUGUGUGAUCGUUCUCCCAUAGGAAUGGGCAGCAGGGGGUCGCUCCACCUCUGGUUUAUGAGAAUAUUUGCUAUAGGCAGUCCUCUGCAACACAGAAAGUUACACAUUACAAUUUUUAGAACAAUGAGGACUUGACAGAAAGCUUUAUCUCAUAUGGGGCUACGAGUCCUGGCUUUCAAUUGAUGUGACCAGGGUAUAUGCACCACAGAAAAGCACAAAUUGUUGUAUUUAACAGUGGUGAUUGUGAGAUAUCUUCCCUUCAACUUGUGGCGCCCUGAAAUACAGAGUGGUUCUUUUGGAUUACUUUGACAGGCCUUAACAUUUCAAUGACAGCCUCUGUGUGGGAACUGCAGUAACCUAGCUUUAUAGGUUGAAGAACAGCAGGAAUAAAGGCCCUUUGAAGGAAGCCUUCAAACGUGUUUUAAGCAUAAGUUUUCCCUGUAGUGUGGAAUAAGUCAACUUCUUGGUGAGUGAUAGGAGAAAGGUUUUAAAUGUAAACCUUGGAGGAGCCGAGGAGCAGUGUUGUUGCCAUUUGUGAACAGCUAUGCAAUCUCCUUGCAGUAAUGUGUGUGGGGUGUCUCCCUCAGGCUAGGCUCAUAUGCAUUUCUUUGUAUGUAUAUACUGCCCUUUGGUUUUAUCAUUACUUUUAGCUCACCAAAAAAAAAAAAAAAAAAAAAGAUACAAAAUCAAGAACGUUUGUAAAAGGUAGUGUUUGUCAGAAAGUUCAUUUCCUUCAGCUGUCAUAAAAUCGGAAUCCUGUGCUAUGGAUAAUAAUGCUAUUUUAAGAUAAACCCCACUAUUGAGAUAAAUGAAAAAGAAAUUAUUUUUUAAAAGGACUAAGUCAAUCCUGUGAGCAUACAGCUUUAGUAAAGAGCUAAGAAAGGACAGCUUGGGUAUCAGCUUGUUGCCUGUCUUUCUGUGAAAUAAUACUUCUGAUUGCUUAGGUCUGAAUGAAUUGACAAGAAGCCAUUCUGAAGCAAAUACAAGGCAUGGAUGGUGGCAGAAAAGCCACCGGUAACUAUGACAAAUGCACCAGGAAUUAGGGCUCUUCCACAGGCUGAAGGGAAGCAGAGCUCCCGAACUGCUGGUGAAUGACCCAGGCUUUCUGCACCACUCCCAGCACUAGUGUGGGGACCAGUGGAAUGGGUGAAUUCAGAUUGCAGCCAAAUUCCCAAAUCUAGGGUCUCAAUUGAAUCUGUGGUUGUAGAACAAGUUCUGCCCAUUGUAGAUAUAACAUUCAAGCACAUUAAGAUGAAAAGUUUUCACAGGCCCAGACUACUCAAGCAGUAGGUCUGAACGUAGCUAUGGUAAUGCAGACUAAUGGCUGCUGCUCUGCAGUUAUUACUGAACAUGAUAAUAAGGAUAUGUGGUCCUCUGUUACACGAGAGAACAAAGAUUCAACCUUCACUUCUAAUUGCAUUAACAUUGCUGUUUCCCACUAAAGCUGUUCCAGGGAAAUAAGAUUGAUUUCUGAAUAUGCAAACAAUUAAGGACUCCAUUCACAUUGCUCUCGUAUAUUUUGGGUAACUUAAUGAGUUUUAAAGAAAUCAGGAAAAAAAGCAGCAUUAUACUAGCAAUUGCUAAAAGAACGGAACUUCCUGGGUGACUUGCAAGAGUGUCUUCUGUAAAAUCCUGGCUACUAUAGACUAAAAGCAGUUUUAGUAAAGUCAUGAUGUUUUCAAUUAUCUGUUUUGCAGAUAUUUUAAGUACAAUAAAUGUUCACAGAUGUCACAUCUCAAGUUUACAUUCCCUUGUAUGCAUUAAGCCACCACAAUUCCCAAAAAUAUGGUCGCAAUGAAAUGACACAAGUGACAACCUGGGAAGCCUACAGGGCUACCUGUGGACACAGGUGAGUGAGAGAUGGGAGCUGCUGGGAAAGCCUCUUUCCUGUGUAUGUGACCUGACAGCAUGAAUCUGGGACUGUGCAAGACUGAAUCCACAAAAGAAGAUAUGCUUCAUUUACGAAAGGUACUAGGUCUUCAUUCAGCACAGAACUGCAGAGG
rnacentral:lncRNA from 1 species